rfam:Hordeum vulgare subsp. vulgare, WGS project CAJW01000000 data, contig: morex_contig_2554337
CAAGUACUCCCUCCGUCUCAAAUUUUUUGUCUUAGCUUUGUCUAGAAAUGGAUGUAUCAAAACACUAAAACUUGACUAGAUACAUUCAUACCUAAACAAAUCUAAGACAAGAAUUUUGGGACGGAGGGAGUAGUUG